CCUUCUAUGACAACAUCAAAUUCUCACUCUAACACACACUUUUGAACAUUAGGUAUUUUUACCGAUUAUGUCUAUUUACCCGUUUUCGUUUAAAAUCGCUUAACAAAAGUUGUUUAACAUAAUUUCUAGCUUCAUAUUCCACCAUAAAACAGAAAAAUAAACACAUUUCACCUAUGGGUAUUUUUCCAAAUAUGAACCCUAGCACGAAUUAUUGCUAGAAUAAGCUAAAUUAAGCUAUCGG
rnacentral:lncRNA from 1 species